UACGUAGGGUGCAAGCGUUGUCCGGAAUUAUUGGGCGUAAAGAGCUCGUAGGCGGUUUGUUGCGUCGGCUGUGAAAUCCCGAGGCUCAACCUCGGGUCUGCAGUCGAUACGAGCAAACUAGAGUGUUGCAGGGGAGACUGGAAUUCCUGGUGUAGCGGUGAAAUGCGCAGAUAUCAGGAGGAACACCGGUGGCGAAGGCGGGUCUCUGGGCAACAACUGACGCAGAGGAGCGAAAGCGUGGGGAGCGAACAGG
rnacentral:rRNA from 1 species